rnacentral:misc_RNA from 2 species
AAGUCGUAACAAGGUCUCCGUUGGUGAACCAGCGGAGGGAUCAUUACGAAAAGGAGUUCUCGGACUCUUAAACCCUUUGUGAACCUUACCUAUCGUCAGUUGCUUCGGCGGGAGGCCCCUGGGAGGGGCCCCGGGGCCCGGCCUGAGCCGGGCUCCCGCCGGAGGAGCGCAAACCAAACUCUUGCUGUACCUCAGUGGAACAUCCGAGUUAAAAAUAAAAAACAAGUUAAAACUUUCAACAACGGAUCUCUUGGUUCUG